ACGUUGUAGAAACUUAAAGGAAUUGGCGGGGGAGCACCACAACGGGUGGAGCUUGCGGUUUAAUUGGAUUCAACGCCGGAAAUCUUACCGGGACCGACAGCGAUAUGAAGGCCAGGCUGAAGACUUUGCCGGAUUAGCUGAGAGGUGGUGCAUGGCCGUCGUCAGUUCGUACUGUGAAGCAUCCUGUUAAGUCAGGCAACGAGCGAGACCCACGCCCACAGUUGCCAGCGUACUCUCCGGAGUGAUGGGUACACUGUGGGGACCGCCGCUGCUAAAGCGGAGGAAGGAAUGGGCAACGGUAGGUCAGUAUGCCCCGAAUAUCCCGGGCUACACGCGAGCUACAAUGGUUGGUACAAUGGGUAUCUACCCCGAGAGGGGAUGGCAAUCUCCUAAAACCAAUCUUAGUUCGGAUUGAGGGCUGCAACUCGCCCUCAUGAAGCUGGAAUCCGUAGUAAUCGCGUUUCAACAGAACGCGGUGAAUACGUCCCUGCUCCUUGCACACACCGCCCGUAUGGUCUUAGCUGUUUCCUAC
rnacentral:rRNA from 1 species